rnacentral:rRNA from 1 species
GACGAACGCUGGCGGCGUGCUUAACACAUGCAAGUCGAACGGAAAGGCCCUAGCUUUCUGGGGUACUCGAGUGGCGAACGGGUGAGUAACACGUGGGUAAUCUGCCCUUCACUCUGGGAUAAGCCUGGGAAACUGGGUCUAAUACUGGAUAUGACCUUUCUCCUUAUGGGGUUUGGUGGAAAGUUUCUCGGUGUGGGAUGGGCCCGCGGCCUUUCAGCUUGUUGGUGGGGUGAUGGCCUACCAAGGCGAUGACGGGUUGCCGGCCUGAGAGGGUGAUCGGCCACAUUGGGACUGAGAUACGGCCCAGACUCCUACGGGAGGCAGCAGUGGGGAAUACUGCACAAUGGGCGGAAGCCUGAUGCAGCGACGCCGCGUGAGGGAUGACGGCCUUCGGGUUGUAAACCUCUUUCGGCAGGGACGAAGCGUAAGUGACGGUAACUGCAGAAGAAGCACCGGCUAACUACGUG